AUUGAACGCUGGCGGAAUGCUUUACACAUGCAAGUCGAACGGCAGCACGGACUUCGGUCUGGUGGCGAGUGGCGAACGGGUGAGUAAUGUAUCGGAACGUGCCCAGUCGUGGGGGAUAACGUAGUGAAAAUUACGCUAAUACCGCAUACGGUCUAUGGAUGAAAGCGGGGGAUCGCAAGACCUCGCGCGAUUGGAGCGGCAGAUAUCAGAUUAGGUAGUUGGUGGGGUAAAGGCCCACCAAGCCAACGAUCUGUAGCUGGUCUGAGAGGACGACCAGCCACCCGGGAACUGAGACACGGUCCAGACUCCUACGGGAGGCAGCAGUGGGGAAUUUUGGACAAUGGGCGAAAGCCUGAUCCAGCCAUUCCGCGUGCAGGAUGAAGGCCCUCGGGUUGUAAACUGCUUUUGUACAGAACGAAAAGGUUUCUACUAAUACUAGGAGCUCAUGACGGUACUGUAAGAAUAAGCACCGGCUAACUACGUGCCAGCCGCCGCCGUAA
rnacentral:rRNA from 1 species